rnacentral:rRNA from 1 species
GACGAACGCUGGCGGCGUGCCUAAUACAUGCAAGUCGAGCGAAGUCUUACUGAUGCUUGCACUAGAAAAACUGAGAGGCGAACGGGUGAGAAACACGUAAAGAACCUGCCUCAUAGACUGGGACAACUGUUGGAAACGAUAGCUUAUACCGGAUAACAGCCUACACUGCAUGGCUGAUGUUUAAAAGUUGUUUUUGCUAACACUAUGAGAUGGCUUUGUGUUGCAUUAGCUAGUUGGUGGGGUAAAGGCCUACCAAGGCGACGAUGCAUAGCCGACCUGAGAGGGUGAUCGGCCACACUGGGACUGAGACACGGCCCAGACUCCUACGGGAGGCAGCAGUAGGGAAUCUUCCGCAAUGGGCGAAAGCCUGACGGAGCCACGCCGCGUGAGUGAAGAAGGAUUUCGGUUCGUAAAGCUCUGUUGUUAGGGAAGAAUGGUUGUGUAGUAACUAUACGCAGUAGUGACGGUACCUAACCAGAAAGCCACGGCUAACUACGUG